rnacentral:rRNA from 1 species
AUUGAACGCUGGCGGCAGGCCUAACACAUGCAAGUCGAGCGGUAGAGAGGUGCUUGCACCUCUUGAGAGCGGCGGACGGGUGAGUAAUGCCUAGGAAUCUGCCUGGUCGUGGGGGAUAACGGUCGGACACGGACGCUAAUACCGCAUACGUCCUACGGGAGAAAGCAGGGGACCUUCGGGACUUGCGCUAUCAGCUGAGCCUAGGUCGGAUUGGCUAGUUGGUGGGGUAAUGGCUCUCCAAGGCGACGAUCCGUAACUUGUCUGAGAGGAUGAUCAGUCACACUGAAACUGAGACACGGUCCAGACUCCUACGGGAGGCAGCAGUGGGGAAUAUUGGACAAUGGGCGAAAGCCUGAUCCAGCCAUGCCGCGUGUGUGAAGAAGGUCUUCGGAUUGUAAAGCACUUUAAGUUGGGAGGAUGGGUCGUUACCUAAUACGUGACGAUUUUGACGUUACCGACAGAAUAAGCACCGGCUAACUCUGUGCCAGCCGCCGCGGUAACAC